CCAUCUCUUUCGGAAAUCUGGAGCUUCAGAGAAAAUUAGCCAAAGAUUUAUGGAAUGCAAUUGUAAUUGAAGAAAAACUUUUGUAGCAAAAGUUUAGAAUUCAGUGGUUGGAUCUUGGAGUUGGAGAUAAAAACUAUAGAUUUUUUCAUGCUAAAACAAAGAGCAGGUGGAACUCUUAACAAAAUCCUUGCUAUUGAGGAUGACCAGGGAGUUAUACCUCAUGAUGCUGAUCAGAUUAAGAAUAUUGUUGUUGGCUGUUAUAGAGACCUCCUUGGUUCUAGAAACUCGACCCCUUGCAGAUGUUAUUUCUCAUAGCAUCAACCCUGAUAUUGCUGCUUCUUUAGAGGCUUAUGUUUCACCAGAGGUGGAACCAGAGGGUCAGAGGGGGUCAUAUGCUGG
rnacentral:lncRNA from 1 species